AGCCGGGGCCCGUGCGGGGGUUUUUAAGCCCAAACCCGCCAGGUUCGGAAGGAAGCAACGGUAAGCUUGUGGCCCGGUGCUACGGGUUUCCCGGCUAUU
rnacentral:SRP_RNA from 2 species